rnacentral:rRNA from 1 species
CUACGGGCGGCUCCAGUGGGGAAUAUUGGACAAUGGGGGAAACCCUGAUCCAGCAAUGCCGCGUGUGUGAAGAAGGCCUGCGGGUUGUAAAGCACUUUCGGUUGGGAGGACUGCUUCUAGCACUAAUAUUGUUGGAAGUUGACGUUACCUUCAGAAGAAGCACCGGCUAACUCCGUGCCAGCAGCCGCGGUAAUACGGAGGGUGCAAGCGUGAAUCGGAAUUACUGGGCGUAAAGCGCGCGUAGGCGGCUAGAUCAGUCGGGUGUGAAAGCCCCGGGCGUAACCUGGGAACUGCAUCCGAUACUGUCUAGCUUGAGUACAGGAGAGGGGAGUGGAAUUCCACAUGUAGCGGUGAAAUGCGUAGAUAUGUGGAGGAACACCAAUGGCGAAGGCAGCUCUCUGGCCUGAUACUGACGCUGAGGUGCGAAAGCGUGGGGAGCAAACAGGAUUAGAUACCCGCGUAGUC